ensembl:snoRNA SNORA71 Small nucleolar RNA SNORA71
ACCUGCAUUCGAAAGUGAUUUAGGUCUGGUGCGUGACCUGAUCAUUGAUAGUGCAGGAAGAGGAAUUUUGAAAGCAUUUCCCGUGUUUGGUGGGUUAAAUACCAUCCCUCCCAAACCCUGUAGCUUUCAGACA